AUUGAACGCUGGCGGCAGGCUUAACACAUGCAAGUCGAGCGAGUGGCGGACGGGUGAGUAAUGUCUGGGAAACUGCCUGAUGGAGGGGGAUAACUACUGGAAACGGUAGCUAAUACCGCAUACCAUCAGAUGUGCCCAGAUGGGAUUAGCUAGUUGGUGGGGUAACGGCUCACCCAGGCGACGAUCCCUAGCUGGUCUGAGAGGAUGACCAGCCACACUGGAACUGAGACACGGUCCAGACUCCUACGGGAGGCAGCAGUGGGGAAUAUUGCACAAUGGGCGAAAGCCUGAUGCAGCCAUGCCGCGUGUAUGAAGAAGGCCUUCGGGUUGUAAAGUACUUUCAGCGGGGAAGCGUUAUUCGCAGAAUAAGCACCGGCUAACUCCGUGCCAGCCGCCGCGGUAAUUC
rnacentral:rRNA from 1 species